UACGAACUGUGCGAACGUUAUUCGGAAUCACUGGGCUUACAGGGUGCGUAGGCGGUCUUGUCAAGUAGGGUGUGAAAGCCCCGGCUCAACCGGGGAAUUGCGCCCUAAACUGGCGAGCUAGAGUGAGAGUAGGGUGUGUGGAACUUCCGGUGGAGCGGUGAAAUGUGUUGAUAAUCGGAAGGAACGCCGGUGGCGAAAGCGACACACUGGAUCUUGUCUGACGCUGGAGGCGCGAAAGCAUGGGGAGCGACACGGG
rnacentral:rRNA from 1 species